GCCGCCAUAGCUCAGCUCGGUUAGAGCGUCUGCCUGUUAAGCAGUUGGCCUUCGGUUCAAAUCCGAAUGGCGGCG
rnacentral:tRNA from 1 species